GGCACAGUGGCGGAGUGGUCUAACGCGUGUGACUCGAACCUUCUAUCUAGACUCGUAAUCUACGAUAGUGAUAGUGUCCAUCACAUCUCUUCGGAGGCGCCCGUUCGAAUCGGGCCUGUGUCG